GUCUUAUAUUUAUCAUCUACAUUUUAUCCUAAAUAGUAAAUAACACACAACUUUAUAAUAGUUUACUAUUGGUAUAAUACAAGCCAAAAAAUUAGAUAAAUUAGACUUCAUCAAACUAAAAAUUUUUGUGCUUCAAAGGAUGCUAUCAAGAAACUGAAAAGACCUACCAUAGAAUAGGAGGAAAUACUUGAAAAUCAUAUAUCUGGUAGGAAACUAUUAAGGUUUGUAUAGUAAAUGUUCUUCAGAGGCUUAUGUGUUGAACAUUUGGUCAGUAGUUGAUGGUGCUAUUGGAAGGUAGUGAAAUCUUUAGGAGAUAGGACCUGGUAGGAGGAAGUUAGGUCAUUGGGGGUCAUGACCUUGAAGGGUAUAUUGGGACUUUGGCCCCUCCCUCUCCUUCUUUGCUUCCUGGCCAUCUUGAAGUGAACAGUUUUCUCUGUCACCAUGAUGUUCUCCUCAUCACAGGCCCCCAGAACAAUGAAGCUAAAACCUACCAACUGAUACCUCUGAAGCCAUGAGUCAAAGUUAAUCUUUCCUCCUUUUUUUUUCCUCCUCAGGUAUUCUGUUACAGCAAUGGAAAGCUGACUGUCACAGAGACUUAUGUCCAGAGUACAUGUGAACUCUUACAACUCAAUAAUAAAAAAAUAUAUAGCCCAAUAUAAAAAAUAGGAAAAAAGAUCUGAAUAGACAUUUCUCCAAGCAAGUUAUACAAUAGCAANACAGACAAGUCUAUAAAGACAAAAGGUAGAUUCGUGGUUUCCAGGGGUGGAUUUGGGAGCAUAGCUAAAGAGCCUGGGGUUUCUUUUUGAGGUUAUGAAAAUGUUCUAAAAUUGUGAGUUUCACAUAUCUGUGAAUAUACUAAACACCAUCAAAUUGUACAUUUCAAAAAGAUAAAUUGUACACUAUGCAAAUUCUGUCUCAAUAAAAUUAUUUAAAAAUAUAUAGAUGGGUUGGGAGUGAGGCUCAGUGGUCCUUGGUUCAAUCACCAGCACCAAUGAUAAAAAUAAUAAUAAUAAUAACAGUAAGGAAGAAAAAUCUUAUUUUUUAAACACUGGGAAGGAAAUUAUCAUGAUGAUAUGUUGGGGGUGGUUGAUAGGUGAGAUUUUGGUAAGAGGCAGGUGCUUAUCCCAUGGAUUUGCAAGGUGCCUCUCAUGACUGCGAAGUUAUGAAUCAUUAGUUGAUACUGCUAGGGUAGAACCUGCCCUAAAAAUACUGACUCUUUAGAAACCAAACUACUUGAGUUCAUGUAAAAAUUAAAAGCAAAAUGCAUCCUGAUGUAAAUUGAGUUUUUGGAUUAAUUAAAAAUAUUGGAGAAUUAAAAAUUUUUUCCCUUGCAAUUUUUCUUCAAUGUGUAGGAACAAGAACACAAAUUUAACAUGUUCUAAUGCAUUUUUAAUAAAAUUAUAAACUGAUUCAUUAUCCAGUCUGAGUUUUUUAGAUGUUGAC
rnacentral:lncRNA from 1 species